rnacentral:rRNA from 1 species
GACGAACGCUGGCGGCGUGCCUAACACAUGCAAGUUGAGCGACGAACCAGGGCUUGCCCUGGGGCAAAGCAGCGAACGGGUGAGUAACACGUGGGUAACCUACCCCGAUAACCGGGACAACCCGAGGAAACUCGGGCUAAUACCGGAUGUGCUCACUGGACUUCGGUUCAGUGCGUAAAGGAAGCUUCGGCCUCCGUAUCGGGAGGGGCCCGCGGCCCAUUGGUUUGUUGGUGAGGUAACGGCUCACCAAGACCGCGAUGGGUAGCUGGUCUGAGAGGACGAUCGGCCACACUGGAGCGGAGACACGGCCCAGACUCCUACGGGAGGCAGCAGUGGGGAAUCUGGCGCAAUGCGCGAAAGCGUGACGCAGCAACGCCGCGUGGGGGAAGAAGGCCUUCGGGUUGUAAACCCCGUUCAGGAGGGACGAAGGUUCGGCGGUGAAUAGCCGUCCGGACUGACGGUACCUCCACAAGAAGCCCCGGCUAACUACGUG